rnacentral:rRNA from 1 species
AUUGAACGCUGGCGGCAGGCCUAACACAUGCAAGUCGAGCGGAAGCAGGGAGCUUGCUCCUGGAUACAGCGGCGGACGGGCGAGUAAUGCCUAGGAAUCUGCCUGGCAGUGGGGGAUAACGUCCGGAAACGGGCGCAAAUACCGCAUACGUCCUGAGGGAGAAAGUGGGGGAUCUUCGGACCUCACGCUAUCAGAUGAGCCGAGGUCGGAUUAGCUAGUUGGCGGGGUAAAGGCCUACCAAGGCGACGAUCCGUAACUGGUCUGAGAGGAUGAUCAGUCACACUGGAACUGAGACACGGUCCAGACUCCUACGGGAGGCAGCAGUGGGGAAUAUUGGACAAUGGGCGAAAGCCUGAUCCAGCCAUGCCGCGUGUGUGAAGAAGGUCUUCGGAUUGUAAAGCACUUUAAGUUGGGAGGAAGGGCAGUAAGUUAAUACCUUGCUGUUUUGACGUUACCAACAGAAUAAGCACCGGCUAACUUCGUG